CAGUAGCCGCGGGAAUACGUAGGGUGCAAGCGUUAAUCGGAAUUACUGGGUGUAAAGCGUGCGCAGGCGGUUAUAUAAGUCAGAUGUGAAAUCCCCGGGCUCAACCUGGGAACUGCAUUUGAGACUGUAUGGCUAGAGUGUGUCAGAGGGGGGUAGAAUUCCACGUGUAGCAGUGAAAUGCGUAGAUAUGUGGAGGAAUACCGAUGGCGAAGGCAGCCCCCUGGGACAACACUGACGCUGAGGCACGAAAGCGUGGGGAGCAAACAGGAUUAGAUACCCCCGUAGUCCCUGUCUCUUAUAC
rnacentral:rRNA from 1 species